UGAGUACUUUCUUACUCUUACUCAAGUAAUUAUUUGGAGGACUGCUUUUUACUGAGACGAGUCACAUUAUUCUGACUUGAGUACAGUAUUUGGCUUCUCCCGCCACCUCUGCGUACACUUAAUCAGUCACUCUGAUUAAUUUUUGGUGUGGUUUGUACCGUUAACAGCAAAAUAUUGUGAAAUGGCGGCCAGCUAAAUACUUGAGAAAACUUGGAAACCUGAGGUAAAUACAAGAAAUGUACCGCCAUUUGGCAUUUGUUUCAAUUUUACAAUAUGUCUGAAUGUUUUACGGCUGUUAGAUGAAUUGAACCAAUUUAUGUUGUGUCUGGCAAAAACGACCACCCAGAACAGGACAUUAACGGAGUGUCAUGGAUAUAUUUGUCUUUUUUUCUAAGCUAAAAUCGCUUUGACUGUUGUUUUGAACAUUGUGGCUCCUAAAAUGGCGGCCACAUCGCAAGCCCCUUCGAAAAGACUCACCAUAUUGUGAUGGUCUCUGAAGGUCAAAAGAGGCGUUUUUAUUAUUUUCGUCGGGGUGGAAUGGACAAAAUGUCGGUCAAAUUGGCCGUCAGUUAGCUAGCUCGCUCGUUAGCUUAGCCAUCGCCGCUCUUUGAACGUGACACGUGACGUCACAAAGAGCACCCCAGUCUUCGCCGUUUGAUUGGCGGAUUGAGUUAUUUUGGGCGGUCCUAAUAAUGGGAAGGAAAUAAAUACCAAGUGAACAAGCAAAGCCCAUUCCAAGUGAAAUGAUGGACAACCGACGGUUGGAAACCAUUUUGGAAGUGGUGAGCGCGGACUCGGGCAAGAUGCUCAACCAACGAGAGCAGGUCAGCGGUGCACCGUCGGUGGUGAGAUUAAGACAGACCUUUUCCAAGCUGGUGCCGGGCCCAGUUCGCCAUCCUCCUCGGCCAUCGCCAGCGAAUUCAGAGUCAGUAUUCUCUGUCAAAUGUCUUUCCUGGCACAUGCACACAGAGGCGACAUGCUGAUGCUUUGUUUUCCCAUUAGCACAAAGAGGAGGAAAUGCGGGGACACGUCCACCGCCGCGCCUUAUGUCAAAAAAGCCCCGAACGCAUAUCUCAUUUUCAUGAAGGAGCAGCGGCCAUUCGUGAAGGCCGCUGCGACACGGCAAGACAGCGCCGCGGUCAACAAGGUCCUGGGGCAAAUGUGGAAGUCGCUGACGCCGGCUGAGCAGCUCAGUUACUUCCAAGAAUCUGAGCGGCUCAGUCGGAUCCACGCCACCAGGUACCCGGACUGGACCUACAGAGACAACUACGGCAAAAGAGAAAGUGGGGCAGUGCAGCCACCAGCGUAAAUCAUCUGACCGCGCCUGCGCCACAGCUCGCGGUACCGGCCCCGGUGCCCUCAACGGGGUCCGACGAGGACCUCGUGUCCAGUAUUUUAUUGGGGGACACAGACUUUGGGGGCUCCGCACUGAGCCUGGAUGUGGGGCCCGAGGUGGACCUGACGUCAGCCUUGUACAGGCAGCUUGAGGCACUGGAGGCGGAGGAAGCGGCCGGAUCGGAGCAUCCACUUUAAAUAUAUUGCAAAUGUUUUUAUAAAUCCAGAGCUUGUGGUACCGGCCCCGGUGCCCAAAACGAGGCCCGACGAGGACCUCGUGUCCAAUUUUCUCUUGGGGGACACUGAGUUUGGGGUCUCAGGAUGGGGCCUGGAUGUGGGGCCGGUGAGGGAGCGAACUGAAUGUUUGCAUCUUCGCACACUUCCUGUUAUUCAACACGUGCGUCUUGAGGUGUUUGGACAACAGGACAGAACUUUUCCGAGCUGGUGCCUGGGCCAGUUCGCCAUCCUCCUCGACGUUCGCCAUCGAAUUCAAAGUAAGUAUUCUCUGUAAAAUGUAUUUCCCGGCACAUGCACACAGAGGCGACAUGCUGAUGCUUUGUUUUCCCAUGAGAACAAAGAGGAAUAAAUGCACGGAGAAGUCCACUGCGCCUUACAUCAAGAAGCCCCCUCAUGCGUUCAUGAUCUUCAUGGAGGUUUUGUGAAGGCCGCUGCGCCAUGGCAAGACAGUGCUGCUGUCAAUAAGGUCCUCGGGCAACUGUGGAAGUCGCUGACGCCGGCUGAGCAGCUCAGUUACUUCCAAGAAUCUGAGCGGCUCAGUCGGAUCCACGCCACCAGGUACCCGGACUGGACCUACAGAGACAACUACGGCAAAAACCAAAAGAGAAAGUGGGGCAGUGCAGCCACCAGCGUAAAUCAUCUGACCGCGCCUGCGCCACAGCUCGCGGUAUUGGCCCCGGUGCCCUCAACGGGGCCCGACGAGGACCUCGUGUCCAAUUUUUCUUGGGGGACACUGACUUUGGGGCCUCCGGAUGGAGCCUGGAUGUGGGGCCCAAGGUGGACCUGACCUCGGCCUUGUACAGGCAGCUUGAGGCACUGAAGGCGGAGGAAGCGGCCGGAUCGGAGCAUAGACUUUAAAUUUAUUUCAAAUGUUUUAAUAAACCUAUAUACAUUUUC